GUUGGCAGUGAACAGCUUCCUGGGUCACAAAUUCUACCAUUCAGGCCUCACCAGUUGGAGCAACCCAAGAAUGGGCAUAUGCAGAGGAUACUCGAAGAAGAAUAUCUUAUCAACGGAGUACCCUUGGGUCUGAAACAGAGUUUCUAUAAGCAUAUUCCAAGUUUUAGUUUGAAGAUGAUGAUGAGGAGGAGGUUGAAGAUAGCUCACAGCAAGCAAGCGGAGAAACUGUUUUCCCUGACAGCCAGGAAUUGUUUUUCACCCUGGAUCUAGUCCCCUCCCAACCCACCGAAGGCGGGCUCCCGGCCCUAGAAGGCAGAGAAGGGACCUCUGUGGAACAGCAAAUGUGGAUCAAGAGGUGCUCCUCCUGUCUCAAUUAUGUCAAGUUCAGACUGACAUCCCUGAGGGUAAUGAAGAUACUUGCCAGAGGAUUUUCUGAAAGGCUGGAGCAGGAGAGGAUGCUGGAUUCCCAGUCAGGCCAUGGGAUGGUAAGAAGGAACUGAGCGGGCAUCAACCCGCACUGCCUCUUAUGCCUGUACUUAGAAAUGCAAGGAGAUCUACUAUGCAUGUGAGGCCAAUGGACACUGCUUGCCAAAAUCUUCAGACUUGGGCACAUGGUAUGCGUGGGUACCUCACAUGUGGAAUACACAUAGGGACCAGCACUUA